UACGUAGGGUGCGAGCGUUGUCCGGAAUUAUUGGGCGUAAAGAGCUUGUAGGCGGUCUGUCGCGUCUGCUGUGAAAAUCCGGGGCUCAACCCCGGACUUGCAGUGGGUACGGGCAGACUAGAGUGUGGUAGGGGAGACUGGAAUUCCUGGUGUAGCGGUGAAAUGCGCAGAUAUCAGGAGGAACACCGAUGGCGAAGGCAGGUCUCUGGGCCACUACUGACGCUGAUUGUGCGAAAGCUAGGGGAGCGAACGGG
rnacentral:rRNA from 1 species